rnacentral:lncRNA from 1 species
CUGGGUUUAUAUGUACACGUGUCCCCAAAAUUGUAACACACUCACAAUUAGUCACAAGGUGGAAACCACACAAGUGUCCAAGGAUAGAUAGAAUGGAUAAAUAAAAUGCAGUAUGUAGAGACAAAGGGAAUAUUAUUCAACCUGGAAUUUUUACACAUGCAAAAACAUGGAUGAACUAUGAGCAACUUAUGAACAUUAUUCAUAAGCCAUACCCAAAGAGCAAUACAGUAUGAUUCCUCUCCUGUGAACUACCUAGAGUAAGCAAAUGCAUAGAGACAGAGAAUAUGAUAGGAAUUUACUAGGGCUCAGAGGGAGAAAGGGGGGAUUGUUUAAUGUGUACAGAGGUUUUGCUUGGGAAAAUGAAAAAAAAGUUCUAAAAGUGGAAAAUGGUGAUGUUUGUACAAUUUUGUGAAGGUAUUUAAUGCCACUGAAUUAUACACUUAAAAGUGGUUAAAAUGGUAAAUUUUACAUCAUAUACAUUUUACCACAGUAAUAAUUGUAAAGAAUGUGUUCCCAAACCAAAAUCAUCUGCAUCACCAGGGAACCAAUUAGGAAGGCAAAUUCUUGGGCCACACCUUAGACAAUCAGAACCUCUGGAGGUAAGGCUUAGGAACCAAGAUGCACGAUGUUUGAGAGCCUCUGCUCUGUGAUGUAAGAUGGGGAGAAAAGGCUGGAGGGGAAUUAGUAGUAAGAUGCUUGGACCUUGUCUUGCCAGUGAGGAGCUGAUUCUGGAUUUUAAGGAAGAAAUUGACAUUGUCAAUUUGUGGAUUUAUCUUUUUUCUAAUUAGCAUGUGCUUCUUGCAGAAAUCUUGGAAAAUUAAACAAAAGUCUGAAAGCCAUUGUAAUGGUUUGGAUCUGUAACAUCCCCCAGAUUUCAUGGAUUGAAGACAUGGUCUCCAGUACAGUAAUUAAUGUCCAGAGGUGGGACUUUUAGGAGUGGGUCAUAAGGGCUCUAACCUUUUGAAAAGAUUACUAGAUGGCAACUAUAGGCAAGUGGCCAUAGUUGAAGGAAGUAUGUCAUUGGGGGGACCCUGAGGGACUGUAUCUUGUCUCUGACUCCUUCCUUCCCCUCUCUUUGCUUCCUGAGUGCCAUGAGCUGAGCAGCCCCCCUCUGCUACACACUUUGGCCAUGGUGUCCAGCCUCACCUCAGGCAGGCCCAAAGCAAUGGAGCCAGCUGACCGUGGACUGAACCUCUAAAAUCAUGACCCAGAAUAAGUCUUUCCUACUCUGAAGUUGUUUUGUCAGGUAUUUUGGUCAGUGAUGAAAAGCUGACUGCUGACUAACACAGUCAUCCUUAAUCUACCCCUGGAAGGUAACCUCUGUGAUUAUUUUGGUGUACUCCAUUUCAUUUUUCGGUGCAUUUGUGCACAUUUUUAAAAACCAAAUAUGGGAUCAUUGUAGACAUACUGGUUUGGAACCUGCCUUUUUUCCCUUAGCAAUACAUCAUGAACAUUUUUACAUGUUAUAAGAACUUUUGCCAUUUUUAUUGACUGCAGAAUUACAUUUUGAUAGCUUAUUCUGGGAACAGUAUAGAAGAUGAAUUUAAGGAAGAAAAGAUUGAACUCCUGCAGGAAUCCAACUUAUGAAGCCAUUGCAGUAAAUCAAGCUAGCCAUGAUAAGGCCUAAAGCGCAACACUACAAAUGGGGAUAGAGCUGGGGACAGAUGUGAGAACUUUUAGAUUAAAAAACUUAUUGAUUGAUGGUACAUGGAGGUGAUGUUUCUUGACUUGGGUGGUAUUUUAAGAUUUUGAAUGUUGAAUUGGAAAGAGUGGAGAAUGGUAAGUUUAGAAGAUGCUGAGCUUUGGAAAAUGUUUAGUCUGAAGGGUCUGUGGGACAUCCAAGUGUCAAAUAUAGGAAUCAAGCUCAAUCUGGGCAAGAGUUGAGAUUCAUAUAUAUAUGUAUAUAUAUUUGGGAAUUAAAUGGUUUAUCAACACCCAAGAGUGGAACCUUUAAGAGACAAGACCUAGUGGGAGGCCGUUAGGUAAUGAGGGGUACGCACGCCCUCAUGGUAAUCUGGUUGGUUCCCACAAUAGUGAGUUGUUAUAAAGAGAGUAAGCCUCUGAAAGUGCUCCCUGAAUCCCCUCUCUGGCUUUUUGUCUCACCACAUGAUCUGCACUCAUGCCUGCCAUUGUGAUGACUUCUGCCACAAGGCCCUUAACAGAGGCCCAAACACACAGUUAUCUUCUCUUGGACUUUUAACCCCUAUAACUGUGAGCUAAAUAAAUCUCUGCUUUAUAAGAUGUCUGGCCUCAGGUAUUUUGUUAUAGCAACAGAAAACAGAUGAAAAUAUUUGGCCUCACCUGCAGAUGUUGAGGUUCUACCAUCUGUAUUAACCAUACUUUAUGGGUAUGAUUUGUGUGCUUAUAAUUUAUGUGCCCUAUUAGACUUGGGAGUGUAAUCAUCUCUGCAUCCGUGGGCAUGGAUGCACAGCAUCUCAAUUCAUGUAUAGGUUUGUAAAGGAGCGGGGUCUUUGUUGUUAUCUGUCUAGGUUUCUCUCUGCCUCUUUCUCUAUCCUUGCUCCUAUUGAGCUCAUCUCCCCAAAUAACCCUACCACAGGCAGAGGCCUUUGCUUUUCUACACACCACUGUGUACACAAAGCUCAGUUUCUUCCUUAAACCUUUCAUUUCAUGAAGGAGAUCAACCAGUUUAGCAAGUCUUAUGCUUGCUUCUGAUUUCAUUUAGGUCUAUUUGUUUUUUAUUAUUUAGAAAGACUGUUCUCCCUUUGGGGCUUCUUUGUAGAAACUUCUUUGAGUGAUUCUUAUUUGAUCCUUUCUUACCUUUAAUUGUAUUUCUAAUACUGCUGUGUUCAUAGCUAAACUUGCUAUGUUCUAACUGACAGUUUUAAAAAGGGGUUGUCUCAAUGACAGAAGAUUUCUCUUUGACCAACGUAACCUUUCUUUCCUAAAUUCUGAAAGCAGGAAGCCCCCUUUCAUCAUCUUGACUUAAGUCAAUUUAGAGGAGCCCAAGAAGCAAUUUUUUUGUUGUUGUUGUUGUCGAUAGACUUUUUUUUUUUAUUUGUUUAUAUGUGGUGCUGAGAAUCAAACCCAGUGCUUCACACAUGCCAGGCAAGUGCGCUACCGCAGAGCCACAGCCACAGCCCUGCGAGAAGCAAUUUUAGUUCUUGGUUUCUUUCCUUUGACUCUAAAAUACUGGAAAGCCUUCCAAAUCAAUGUUUCAUAACAGUUCUGCACUUUGCUUAGUCCCUCAUCUAUUGAUUUGGAAUGAAAACAUUGCUCUCUUAAUGAAGAUGGUUGUGAGAAAUAUAAAUAUAUGGGUGUAAGGGGAGGGAAAGCCCAUUUCCAGAUUAAACUGCUGAUUAAAAAUAAUAGAGGUAUUAAAUAAAUAUUACAUAAGCCCUUGAGAAACAUGUAUUUCUAGAAAAAAUAUAAAC